CAAUGCAUAGUGUAGUGGUUUGAAUGUUGGACUGUGACUCUGGAGACCAGGGUUCAAUUCCCCGCUUGACCA